GACCUGAUAGCACAGUUGGUUAGUGCGUCUGCGAACAGUACGGUUUUAUGAAGUUAUGGUAAGCAGAAGGCCCUGGUUCGAAUCCGGGUCAGGUCA